rnacentral:rRNA from 1 species
GAUGAACGCUGGCGGCGUGCCUAAUACAUGCGAGUCGAGCGAACGGACGAGAAGCUUGCUUCUCUGAUGUUAGCGGCGGACGGGUGAGUAACACGUGGAUAACCUACCUAUAAGACUGGGAUAACUUCGGGAAACCGGAGCUAAUACCGGAUAAUAUUUUGAACCGCAUGGUUCAAAAGUGAAAGACGGUCUUGCUGUCACUUAUAGAUGGAUCCGCGCUGCAUUAGCUAGUUGGUAAGGUAACGGCUUACCAAGGCAACGAUGCAUAGCCGACCUGAGAGGGUGAUCGGCCACACUGGAACUGAGACACGGUCCAGACUCCUACGGGAGGCAGCAGUAGGGAAUCUUCCGCAAUGGGCGAAAGCCUGACGGAGAAACGCCGCGUGAGUGAUGAAGGUCUUCGGAUCGUAAAACUCUGUUAUUAGGGAAGAACAUAUGUGUAAGUAACUGUGCACAUCUUGACGGUACCUAAUCAGAAAGCCACGGCUAACUACGUG